CAGCGCCACGAGUGGCAAUCGCAAUUAUUGGGCCUAAAACGUCCGUAGCCGGUUUAGUAAAUGCCUGGGUAAAUCGUGUAGCUUAACUAUACGACUUCCGGGUAGACUGCUAAACUUGAGACCGGGAGAGGCUAGAGGUACUCCUGGGGUAGAGGUGAAAUUCUGUAAUCCUAGGGGGACCACCAGUGGCGAAGGCGUCUAGCUAGAACGGGUCUGACGGUGAGGGACGAAGCCCUGGGGCACAAACCGGAUUAGAGACCCGAGUAGUCC
rnacentral:rRNA from 1 species